rnacentral:lncRNA from 1 species
CCAUCUAAUCCGCGGUUGUCCCCGAGCACCCCUCAUCUUCCUCUUUACCCAGAGACCGACAUCCAUCACGAGGAGUCUGUGAAGAGUCGAAAGGGACUCUCCCAGAAUAACCUUGCCGUCCUUGCACAUACCCCCAUCGCUCCUUCUGAGGAGGAUGUAAUCAAUCUGAUUCCUCGCCGCCGAACUCUUGAAGGUGACCAUAUUCUCCUCCCUCUUCUGAAAUGUCGAGUUCAAAAUCAGAAGCUCGGAAGCCCUGGCGAAAUCAAGCAGUGAAGUGCCUCCUCCGUUCCUAACC